AUCGGGGCCUGUGAUGGAGUUAGUCUGUGUCUGAGGCAGCCCCGGGGAGAGCGUGACGGUGCGUGUGUGGCACCGCGUGUGCCCGUGUGAGCGCGUGUGGCCGUCAGCAUUCUAUCUGGGGAGAACUGUGUCACAGGCGAAGCCACAGCGCUGCUGUCCUGGGCGGUCCCCGCGGUGCUGUCCCGGGCCGUGGGAGGCAGCGUGUGCCGUUCUUGCGGUGACGCACCCGCUUGUGGUAGAAGCGCGUGGCCGUCUGCAGCCGGGUCUCGUGUUCCCCCCGGGUCCCGGCCCUACCCGCGUGUGUGGGCGGCAGGGCUCCCGCAGUGUCCCCCACCCGGGCUGCAGCGGUGACUCAGGGGCUGGUUUGUCCUCGAGGACCGAGGUGAGCAGGACAGGCGCCUUUCAGAGGACUUUGCGUGGCAGAUGCGGGAACGCAGACUCGGUUCCCGGGGUCUCAGCUGCCCCACCGUUUCUGCCCUGGCCAGAGGGUACCGGGAAGUCGCCCCCACCCGUCGCUGGGUGGGGCGGCCGCUUCCUGAGAGCACAGGAAGGCAGGGAGGGGCUUGGUCCUGGGGCACCCAGGGACACACCCAGAAAUCACCCCUUACUCUCCCAGCCCCUCGCACUGCCGCUGUGGGGCUGUCCCCUGCCCUGUGCUGCGGGCCAAAUGCGUGAAGUGCAGGCUUGCUUGGAGUGCCUCCCUGCGCAGGCUUCCGGGUAGACCCUCCUGCCUCUGCCUCCUCCUGGGCUCCGGGUGGCCCCUUACUCCAGACUUGGCCUCCGUGUUGGCCCCCCCAGGCCGUGCGGGGGUGUGGAGCACAGGUGGCCGCGGCCGCCUGCUCACGACGCCCCCUGCCUCCUCCCACAGGUUCGGGGAGGACCAGGCCCUCGUGCCCUGCACCAACUACAUCGUCCAGCACGGCCGCACGGCAGGGUGCCUCCUGCAGGGCCGGGACGACGUCCUGAACCUCACCAUCCGCGACGGGCCCCGCCCCGUGCUCUCCAUGCGGCGCUGGGUGGCUGAAUACCUGAAGCCCAGCUCCCCGAGAGACCUGCAGUUCCUGUGGGGACAGGAGGCCGUGACCGUGCUGUGCUCCCCGCUGCCCCACCCGGGGCUGCUCUACGAGGUGCAGCACACGACCCCCCACGACACCCAGUGGCAGUCCCAGGUGUCAGAGGUGUGCAACAUAACCAUCAGGGGCGUGGACGUAGAGCAGUGCCACCUCUUCCGGGCCAGGGUGAAGACCAAGGAUUCCUACUACGGCCCCAAAGCCUCCCCGAGCGACUGGUCUCAGGUCACGCACUGGCGGGGAGCCACAACUGAAGAUGCAUAA
rnacentral:lncRNA from 1 species